AACUGAUACUACCUGCGGGAACCUGCGGAAGGAUCAUUACCGAGUUUACAACUCCCAAACCCAAUGUGAACCAUACCAAACUGUUGCCUCGGCGGGGUCACGCCCCGGGUGCGUCGCAGCCCCGGAACCAGGCGCCCGCCGGAGGGACCAACCAAACUCUUUCUGUAGUCCCCUCGCGGACGUUAUUUCUUACAGCUCUGAGCAAAAAUUCAAAAUGAAUCAAAACUUUUAGCAACGGAU
rnacentral:misc_RNA from 1 species